rnacentral:lncRNA from 1 species
GCGACUGUCGAAAUGAAUUAGAAUCAGGCCCCUGGUCUUUUCACCUCCGAAUAAAUAUGCUCUUAUCUGGCAGUUAGCUAUCUGGAGGAUAAAUAUUUAUUCGCCAGAUAAAAUGUACCCGUCUUUUCACGUCAAUUUAUGUUCCAGUUAGUUAUCCGGUAGAUAAGCUUAAAAGUAAGUUUGGAUUCCGAACACACCUGACUUUUAUGUUUAUUUUUAUAAUUUCAGCUUUAACUUAACCUAACAUAAUUAGAUUCAAAGUAUUUCAAAGAUGAUUUUAUCGAUUUUAUUUCCAUUUUGGAAGAAGGAAUGAAGGAAAUAAAGAAAACAUUGAUUAUGCUGAAAUAGUUUACUGGAGAGCUUGAACAAGAGGUAAAUCCAUUUUAAAUUAGAGGAAAACUGUUGAUUUGUAUGUAAAAUAGAAGACAAAGACAAGUUUAAAUAAAGACAAGCUAGCUAAUGAAACAGAUGCAGUGGUAAUUUUGUUUACAUAAUUAUAUAUGUACAUAUUAUAUGAUUAUUAAUAUUAACUGUUCAAUGAUGUAAAAAUUUGUUAAUGUGGGGAAAACUUUUAUUUAAAUUCAAUACUAUAUUUCUGUAGUGGUAUGGCAAAACUUGAUGUUAUGUCUGACUUCAGCCAUAAUGAGAUUAUUUGCUUGAUAUGCUAUUUAGUAACAUUUCUUCAAGUUGGUAUAGUUUGGUAUGUGUAUGAUGAAGGUAAAACCCCCUUUGUCCCACAUGUCCCC